rnacentral:rRNA from 1 species
CAGCUCGUGUCGUGAGAUGUUGGGUUAAGUCCCGCAACGAGCGCAACCCUCGUCCUAUGUUGCCAGCGGGUCAUGCCGGGGACUCAUGGGAGACUGCCGGGGUCAACUCGGAGAAGUGGGGAUGACGUCAAAUCAUCAUGCCCCUUAUGUCUUGGGCUUCACGCAUGCUACAAUGGCCGGUACAAAGGGCUGCGAUACCGCGAGGUGGAGCGAAUCCCAGAAAGCCGGUCUCAGUUCGGAUUGGGGUCUGCAACUCGACCCCAUGAAGUCGGAGUCGCUAGUAAUCGCAGAUCAGCAACGCUGCGGUCGAAUACGUUCCGGGCCUU